AAACUAACUAGGAUGCCUUCAGUAACGGCGAGCGAAGCAGGCAUAGCUCAAAUUUGUAAUCUGGCGCCUUUGGCGUCCGAGUUGUAUUUUCUAGAAGCGAGUUCGGCGACAGCUCCUACCCAAGUCCGUUGGAACGCGGCGUCAUGGAGGGUGAGAAUCCCGUGAAUGGUAGGAUGUCUGCUGCUAUGUGAACCGCCUUCGAAGAGUCGAGUUGUUUGGGAAUGCAGCUCUAAAUGGGAGGUAAAUUUCUUCUAAAGCUAAAUAUUGGCCAGAGACCGAUAGCGAACAAGUAGAGUGAUCGAAAGAUGAAAAGAACUUUGAAAAGAGAGUUAAACAGUACGUGAAAUUGUUGAAAGGGAAGCGCUUGAGAUCAGACUUCCUGUCUGGACUGUCCUUGCUUUUGCUUGGGUCAACAGUCCAGGCGUGGAGGCCAGCAUCAGUUUUGACGGCCGGAUAAAGGCCUUGGGAAGGUAGCUCCUCUCGGGGAGUGUUAUAGCCCAGGGUGUAAUACGGCCAGUUGGGACUGAGGACCGCGGCUUUGCCUAGGAUGCUGGCGUAAUGGUCUUAAGCGAC
rnacentral:rRNA from 3 species